rnacentral:pre_miRNA from 1 species
UAAGUACUCCCUCCGUUCCUAAAUAUUUGUCUUUCUAGAUAUUUUAACAAGUGACUACAUACGGAGCAAAAUGAAUGAAUCUACACUUUAAAAUAUGUCUACAUACAUCCGUAUGUGGUAGUCAUUUAAAAUGUCUAUAAAGACAAAUAUUUAGGAACGGAGGGAGUAUAUU